AGAGCAUCAGUGAUGUUAUAUCCAUCUUAACUCAUCCUUGCACUAUGAGUCAACCAGUGAAGAAACUAUGGGGGAAUAUUUAGUCUGAGAUGCUC
rnacentral:snoRNA from 1 species